GAUGAACGCUGGCGGCGUGCCUAAUACAUGCAAGUCGAGCGAACAGACGAGGAGCUUGCUCCUUUGACGUUAGCGGCGGACGGGUGAGUAGCGCGUAGGUAACCUACCUAUAAGACUGGGAUAACUUCGGGAAACCGGAGCUAAUACCGGAUAAUAUUUCGAACCGCAUGGUUCGAUAGUGAAAGAUGGCUUUGCUAUCACUUAUAGAUGGACCUGCGCCGUAUUAGCUAGUUGGUAAGGUAACGGCUUACCAAGGCAACGAUACGUAGCCGACCUGAGAGGGUGAUCGGCCACACUGGAACUGAGACACGGUCCAGACUCCUACGGGAGGCAGCAGUAGGGAAUCUUCCGCAAUGGGCGAAAGCCUGACGGAGCAACGCCGCGUGAGUGAUGAAGGUCUUCGGAUCGUAAAACUCUGUUAUUAGGGAAGAACAAACGUGUAAGUAACUGUGCACGUCUUGACGGUACCUAAUCAGAAAGCCACGGCUAACUACGUG
rnacentral:rRNA from 1 species